UUAUAAACAAACCAAAUUGAAGUACUAGAAACAAUAAGAGUAUCUGUUCCUGUGUAUGCCCAAGUUUCUGUUUUCCAAGAAGCAUAUUAAUUAAAUGAACAAAACUGUGUCCAAGAAAUACUCUAUUGCAUAGAGGAUUUAAUGAAAACAAAAUUGGUGAUGCUGUAAUCACAAAGUUCCAUGCAGGAAUCAAUGGUUAUUGCUAAAAUAUUUUAUUGGUGCUCCUAAGUCAUUUAUUUACAUACUUAACUUUUAACGUAACUACUGGUAGAUUGUAGGAAAUAAUAUACACAUUGGAACAAUUUAAGUAAAUAAAUGAAUUAAUAUAAUACAUACAUCAAGAAGUAAUGUAUAAUUUUACAAAAAGCUGUAUUAAUCACUUUCGAAAAUCAUAAUUGUUUUUUUUAGUAAGUCGCAGACAAAUAUUUUAGGUUUGUUAUUAAAUUAAAUGAUAAUGUAAUAAGUACAGAUUUAGACUCUUGAACCAGGCAUAGUAUAUUAAUUAGUAGGGUUCACAGUAAAACAUAUUUUGUAAUACCAUUCGAAAGAAAAUAAAUACCUAUAUUAUACUGUUUAUAAAGUGAGU
rnacentral:lncRNA from 1 species